rnacentral:rRNA from 1 species
CGGAGGGGCUAGCGUUGUUCGGAAUUACUGGGCGUAAAGCGCGCGUAGGCGGCUUUGUAAGUCAGAGGUGAAAUCCCGGAGCUCAACUCCGGAACUGCCUUUGAAACUGCAUCGCUUGAAUGUCGGAGAGGUGAGUGGAAUUCCGAGUGUAGAGGUGAAAUUCGUAGAUAUUCGGAAGAACACCAGUGGCGAAGGCGGCUCACUGGACGACUAUUGACGCUGAGGUGCGAAAGCGUGGGGAGCAAACAGGAUU